UUGGCCUACCGUGGCAAUGACGGGUAACGGAGAAUUAGGGUUCGAUUCCGGAGAGGGAGCCUGAGAAACGGCUACCACAUCUAAGGAAGGCAGCAGGCGCGCAAAUUACCCAAUCCUGACACAGGGAGUAGUAACAAGAAAUAACAAUACAGGGCAUCCAUGUCUUGUAAUUGGAAUGAGUAGAAUUUAAAUCCCUUUAUGAGUAUCAAUUGGAGGGCAAGUCUGGUGCCAGCAGCCGCGGUAAUUCCAGCUCCAAUAGCGUAUAUUAAAGUUGUUGCGGUUAAAAAGCUCGUAGUUGGAUUUCUGCCGAGGACGACCGGUCCGCCCACUGGGUGUGCAUCUGGCUCGGCCUGGGCAUCUUCCUGGAGAACGUAUCUGCACUUCAUUGUGUGGUGCGGUAUCCAGGACUUUUACUUUGAGGAAAUUAGAGUGUUUCAAGCAGGCACACGCCUUGAAUACAUUAGCAUGGAAUAAUAAUAUAGGACCUUGGUUCUAUUUUGUUGGUUUCUAGAACUGAGGUAAUGAUUAAUAGGGAUAGUUGGGGGCAUUCGUAUUUAACUGUCAGAGGUGAAAUUCUGGGAUUUGUUAAAGACGAACUACUGCGAAAGCACUUGCCAAGGAUGUUUUCAUUGAUCAAGAACGAAAGUUAGGGGAUCGAAGACGAUCGGAUACCGUCCUAGUCUUAACCAUAACCAUGCC
rnacentral:rRNA from 1 species